rnacentral:rRNA from 1 species
AAUUGAACCCCUCUACUGAAAACGUCGGCCCUGUGGGCCACUUUUGGUAAGCAGAACUGGCGAUAUGGGAUGAACCAUAAGUUUGGUUAAGGCGUCAAAAUACCCGCUUAUAGAUCCCACAAAAGGUGUUGGUUCAUCUAGACAGCAGGACGGUGGCCAUGGAAGUCGGAAUCCGCUAAGGAGUGUGUAACAACUCACCUGCCGAAUGAACUAGCCCUGAAAAUGGAUGACGCUUAAGCGGGUUGCCGACACCAGACCGUUUUGGCAAGAAGCGACCAAAAUGAGUAGGAGGGCGUGGCGGUUUUGUUGAGAAGGACGAGACGCAAGUCUGUCUGAAACGGCCGCUAGUGCAGAUCUUGGUGGUAGUAGCAAAUAUUCAAGCGAGAUCCUUGAAGGGCGAAGCGGGGAAGGGUUCCACGCGAACAUUGAUUGGGCGUGGGUGAGUCGUUCCUAAGCCGGGUGGUAAUCGUUCUUACGAUCGGCGAAAGGGAAGCGGGUUAAAAUUCUCGCACACGGAUGUGGAGGCGGUGACGCAAAUUGAGGUGGAGACGUUAGCGAUGGCACUGGGCAGAGUUGUCUUUUCUGUUUAACCUGUGGCGGCACUCUGUGGAAUCCGAUUAUCGGGAGAAACAGGUGCUUAUGGGAAGAGCGUCGGGGCGUCCCCGGCGUCCAGUACGCCAUCGAUAGCCCUUGAAAAUCCAUCUGCAAUGAAAUUUCACGCCGUGGCGUACCGAUAACCGCAUCAGGUCCCCAAGGUGAACAGCCUCUGCUCAAUAUGAACAAUGCAGGUAAGGGAAGUCGGCAAAAUAGACCCGUAACUUUGGGAAAAGGGUUGGCUCUAGUGGGGUGGAGGAUUUCAUACUGGAUCAUUGGGAUU